GAGUUUGAUCUUGGCUCAGAUUGAACGCUGGCGGCAUGCCUUACACAUGCAAGUCGAACGGCAGCACGGGAGCUUGCUCCUGGUGGCGAGUGGCGAACGGGUGAGUAAUGCAUCGGAACGUAUCCUGGAGUGGGGGAUAACGUAGCGAAAGUUACGCUAAUACCGCAUAUUCUGUGAGCAGGAAAGCGGGGGACCUUCGGGCCUCGCGCUCUUGGAGCGGCCGAUGUCGGAUUAGCUAGUUGGUGAGGUAAAGGCUCACCAAGGCGACGAUCCGCAGCAGGUCUGAGAGGAUGAUCUGCCACACUGGAACUGAGACACGGUCCAGACUCCUACGGGAGGCAGCAGUGGGGAAUUUUGGACAAUGGGGGCAACCCUGAUCCAGCCAUGCCGCGUGAGUGAAGAAGGCCUCGGUU
rnacentral:rRNA from 1 species